GAGAGAAGUGGGUUACAGACAGCCAGACAGACGCUGCAAAAUCCUUCCUGGUCAACGAGCCCUGAAUCCCAAAAUAAACUGCAAAGUUGGCUGCUCGGAUGUUUGCAUUCGUGAGAUUUUGUCGUCUGUGGGAGAGGUGACAAAACAACAGAGCAAAUGAGAUGGAAACUCAAACUACUCGAGCUCUGCUGAUUUGCACAUCGGAGGGGCCUGGACAGAUGCCAUUCUUCAUUCACUCAGCUUUUCUGUUCAUGCACCCCAUUAUAAGCUGUUUUUUCAAGAUGAUCUCAGUUAGGUAUGAAAACAAUCUUUACUGCCAUUUACAUAUGCACACUGACCUCUUGCUGCAUUGAGGAGUUGUAGGACUGGGUUUAUUUUCAGUUGCUGCGGCUACGCAGCUGUUGUAUAUUUUGUGACAGUCUGUUGUUUGUUUGCUGGAUCAACACAGAUGAACAGUUUUCUUUGCUAACGAAAGCACACAUAUAGCAGAUUUAGCCUGUCAGCUCAUCCCUCUCUCUGACACCAUUUGUUGUGUUUUUUUCAGUCGCGGCUGCUGUAAGGGUUUCUGGUAAAAGCUGGGUGUUGGUUGACCUUGACAAGGGUGUGUGAAACCUGUUGGAGCUGAUGUUAUGUGAGAGGAAAACAUAAGGGAGAUAUGACAGUGUCGGGGCAGAGUUUGAAAGCAAAGAGUGAGAUAAAUGGACGGGGAGAAAAUGCAUGGAAAGUGACCUGUUGAGUCUGGUCAUGCCUAAUAAAGGGAAUGACCAAUAACAGUGUGCAUUGGCAGUCUGCAGAAUGUAAAUAACAUCCUGUCGUUUCUAAAGGAACACCCCAGGUCACUCUUCACGUAUGACUAUACUGCCAGGUACAGCUCAAAUGUUAUCCUCAAGUUUGCUGACGACACCACCAUCGUGGGCCUCAUUACAGACAACGACGACAGUGCCUAUAGGAAUGAGGUGAUAUCACUGACCAGGUGGUGUCAGGAAAUUGACCUCUCUGAAUGUCAGCAAAACUAAGGAGAUAAUAAUGGAGUUUAGGAGACAGAGUGGAGGCCAGCAUUCCCCCUUCUAUAUUAAUAAUGCUGAGGUGGAGCAGGUCAGUAGCUUCACUGAGGACUUAUCCUGGACAAUACAUGAAGACACUGUGUUCAGGAAAGUCCAACAGAGACUCUACUUCCUGAGAAGGCUGAUGAAGUUUGGUAUGAACACCAGCAUCCUCACAAACUUUUACAGGUGCAUUAUUGAGAGUCUUCUGAUGGGAUGUAUCACAGUGCGAUAUGGGAACUGCACCUGUCAGAGCACUACAGAGGGUGGUGUGAUCGACAGAGGCCGUCACUGGCAACAGUCCCCCCCCAUCCAGGAAAUGUACUGGAGCCGGUGUCUGCGCAAAGCAUGCAGCAUCAUCAAGGACCACACUCACACAGCAAAAGGACCUUUCGUCUGCUACCUUCUGACAGGCGAUACAGGUGCCUGCCAGCAUGCACAAAGACUUAGAGACAGUUAUUAUCUACAAGCUGUCAGACUACUGAACUCUGGACAAUAAUACUACACCAAACCCCAUUUGUGACACUUUAUUAUCUUAUUGCUGCUACACGAUGUGUACUAUUUUAUUGCAUGCCAUUAGUACUUUUGUUUUUAUAGUGAGUUGAGUGGUUCUUCUUAUCCCAAGCAUUUCACUGCACUGUUGACUGUGUGUUAACCUGCAUAUGACAAAUAAACCAAUACAAGUUUCGUGUC